rnacentral:rRNA from 1 species
AUGGAUUCCAUCUUGGCGAAUCAAACUUGGGAGAUAACUGAUCGUCCUUAUGGGUGCAAACCUAUAGGAUGCAAAUGGGUGUUCAAGAAGAAGCUUAGGCCUGAUGGUACUAUUGAAAAGUACAAGGCUCGGCUCAUGGCAAAGGGUUAUACCCAAAAGGAAGGUGAAGACUUCUUUGAUACUUACUCACCUGUGGCUCGACUGACCACUAUUCGAGUUCUACUUUCACUAGCUGCCUCACAUGGUCUUCUCGUUCAUCAAAUGGAUGUUAAGACUGCUUUUCUAAAUGGAGAGUUGGAUGAGGAAAUUUACAUGGAACAACCAGAUGGGUUUGUAGUAGAUGGUCAGGAAGGGAAAGUGCGCAAGUUGCUGAAGUCUUUGUAUGGACUCAAGCAAGCACCCAAACAAUGGCAUGAGAAAUUCGAAAGAACUUUAACUACUGCAGGCUUUGUUGUGAACGAAGCUAACAAAUGUGUGUACUAUCGCCAUGGUGGGGGCGAGGGAGUUAUGCUUUGCUUGAAUGUUGAUGACAUACUGAUUUUCGGAACAAAUCCGAAUGUUAUUAAGGAGGUCAAGGAUUUCCUAUGUCGCUGUUUCGAGAUGAAGGAUUUAGGAGUGGCUGAUGUCAUUCUGAACAUCAAGUUGUUGAGAGAUGAUGAUGGUGGGAUUACAUUGCUUCAAUCUCACUAUGUGGAAAAGAUCUUGAGUCGCUUUGGCUAUAGUGACUGCAAGCCCUCUCCAACUCCAUAUGAUGCUAGCGUGCUACUUCGAAAGAAUCGAAGAAUUGCUAGAGAUCAGUUGAAGUAUUCUCAGAUUAUUGGCUCACUUAUGUACUUAGCAAGUGCUACAAGACCUGACAUCUCUUUUGCUGUUAGCAAACUGAGUCGGUUUGUUUCAAAACCAGGAGAUGUGCAUUGGAAAGCUCUAGAGAGAGUUUUGCGUUAUUUGAAAGGCACUGCGAAUUAUGGAAUUCACUACACUGGGCAUCCAAAGGUGCUUGAAGGGUAUAGUGACGCAAACUGGAUCUCAGAUGCUGAUGAGAUAAAGGCCACGAGCGGUUAUGUAUUCACUCAUGGAGGUGGCGCUGUUUCUUGGAAGUCUUGCAAGCAGACCAUCUUAACGAGGUCAACAAUGGAAGCAGAACUCACAUCACUAGAUACAGCUACGGUCGAAGCAGAUUGGCUUCGUCGGCUCUUGAAUGACUUGCCGGUUGUUGAGAAACCUGUACCGGGUGUCCUUAUGAACUGCGACAAUCAAACUGUGAUCAUGAAAGUGAGAAACUCAAAGGAUAACAUGAAUUCAUCAAGACACGUUCAGAGAAGGGUCUAUCACGUAAUGUGA